ensembl:lncRNA
CGAGACAUGUAUGAAGGUGUUGCCAAGUUCUCGUACAAACAUCCUUUUCUCACCCUUCAAAGAAGACACACAGGUUUCAUUUCUAAGUAGUCACGAUGCCAGAGAGCGAAAGACCUCAACACACUUGGAUGUCUCUUUUAAUAAGGUGUAUCUAUGGGAUUUUCUUCAUCCUGUUUAUUGUUCAGGGGAUAGUUGGAUGCGUGUACUUUAAUGACUGUCCAGGGGAGCCCUCCAUUCCUACCAUAAUGGUUAUUUCUGGAUUCAUUUCUUUCAUCUGGGCAUGUAGCUGGUUUAAGAAUGGAUGCAGAAUUUUCUGCUACUGUCUCAUCUCCGUGCUCUGUUUUAUCUGGUUCGUCGGUACUGUAAUUGUCUACUGCAACUACAUCCUGCACGAUACUCCAGAAAACGAUCUCAAAUGCAACAAGACGCUCCACCUGUUCGCAUUUUGGUGCAGCAACGUGACCUACAUCCUGACAGCUGUUAACAUUUUCUGUUUAAUUUCUGCUUGCUGCAACGACCGGAUGGAGCCUUUCGAGCUUUACAAUGAUGAGGAUCAACCACUGCUGUGGAGCUAAUCAUAUGAAUACAAAGAGCGAUUCAGAAGACCCCUAUGACAAGACCAUCAAGGGAGCAGAUCACCCUGCCCGGGCUGGGGUUAGCGGGGCCCCGCCGUGGAGCCAGGCCUGGGGAGGGUGCCCAAGGGCGAGCGUCUGGUGGCCGGGCCUUAGUCCAUGGGGCCCGGCCGGGCACAGCCUGAAAAAGGGACAUGGGCCUAUCUUCCUGCAGGCCCACCACCCACAGGAGGCACCAUAGGGGUAAGGUGCAAUGUGAGCCGGGCGGUGGCCAGGAGCGGAGGUCCUGGCGGACCAAUCCCGGGCUACCAAGACUGGCAAAUGGGACAUGGAAUGUCACCUCUCUGGUGGAGAAGGAGCCUGAGUUAGUGCGUGAGGUUGAGAGGUACCGGCUAGAUAUAGUCGGGCUCAUCUCAACGCAUGGCUUGGGCUCUGGAACCAGUCUCCUGGAGAGGGGCUGGACUCUGUCUCAGUCUGGAGUUACCCAGUGAGAGGCGGCGGGCUGGGGUGGGAAGCUCUCAAUUUACCGGUCGAUCUACGUCCCUACCCUCACCUAUGGCCACGAGCUGUGGGUAGUGACUGAAAGAACAAGAUCGCGGAUACAAGCGGCGGAAAUGGGCUCCCUCCGAAGGGUGGCUGGCCUCUCCCUUAGAGAUAGGGUGAGAAGUUCAGCUAUUCGAGAGGGGCUCAGAGUAGAGCCGCUGCUCCUCCACAUCGAAAGGAGCCAGUUGAGGUGGUUCGGGCAUCUGACAAGGCACCUCCUGGGUGAGAUGUCCCACCGGGAGGAAGCCCCGGGGCAGACCCAGGACACGCUGGAAAGAUUGUAUCUCUCGGCUGGCCUGGGAAUGCCUUGGUGUUUCCCCGGACAAGCUGGAGGAGGUGGCUGGGGAGAGGGAGGUCUGGGCUUCUCUGCUUCGGCUGCUGCCCCCGUGACCCGGCCCUGGAUAAGCAGAAGAAAAUGAAUGGAUAGAUUUUUAUUUUCCUUUUAUUUUUUUGCUAUACUCUUUGCACCUAUGAGAAAACAAACUUCUACCCUGUGGGGCAAGGAAUGACCUCCAGUAAUAUUUGAAGACCACUAGAUGUCCCUACAAUGCCUCUACACAUCAUGCAGUGGCUAUGACUGAAUGUCGAAUAAAAACAGC